GAGACUUAAGAUCUUUUUAAUGUAUUCAUCAGGGGUGCAUCUGAAAGGGGAAAGAGUGAGCUGAAUGGAUCCAUUAAUUUAAUUGAAGCGAGCUCAGACAAGAGAUAAAACAUCGCAGCCUGUUCCUUUUCAUGAGUACGAGCGAGCACAGUAGUAAACAGGCAGAAAUACAAAUACACGCAAAAGAAAUAAAGGUACACAGAGACUCUAGAGACUUCAAGGCCAUGGGAUCUCAACAGAUGCAGAGGUGAAUUAACCCUGAAGAAGCCCUCUUCGUGCACUGCGGUCACUGUUCAGUCUUUCUUGGAAACUGAAAUACCCCGAGGUUGCAUUUUAAGAGAUGUCAUAAUUUAGCUGUGGGCUGGAAGAACAAAGAAGCUGACUCAUGCCUUCUCAUGAGCCCCGCUGUGCUUGUAGACUGGAAGGAGGACCAAGAAGCCAACUUGUACCUUUCUGGAGUCAGCAGCUACCAUAUGGGCCUAGAGGAGAACCAAGAAGCCAAGGCACACCCUUCCAUGAGCCAGUGGCAGUUGUGUGUUGAGUGGAGAAACAAGAAGCCAACUUGUACCCCCUCAUUGGCCAGCAACAGCCAUGCAGGCAAAAAGGAGAACCAAGAAUCAGCUGCCCUCCCGUGAGCCACCUGGUGUGUGGGCUGAGUCAAGAGUUCCCCUCCCUCAAAUAAGCAACCAGCUGAUUUGAGGAAACACAGACUGAGGUCUGCCUCAUCUUUCUUUCUUUGACCAACAAGUGGCCUUUCUCAAGUUCAACUGCUGACAUGAACCAAAUGACCAGAAAUCAUUCAUGAAAGGAGAACAAACAAUGUGUCAUGUAAUAUAUGAUUGAUGAAUCUCAGGCAAUGUUCAGUAGCACAUUCAUAAUAUUUAUUAAUUUUGGUGGUAUAUUAUUAAAUUUUAAAUUAUGUGCAUAUAUCUAUGUAAGUCUUUUGCUUUGAUACUAUCAUUUGAUAAUUAAUCUGAGAUUAUUGAUUCACAAUUUCUACAUACUCAUAACCGAGAGUUAUUUGAAAACUUUGCAUUUAGUAUAGAAUAUUGCUUAGCUAUACCCAUAAUGUUAAUUGUUCAAUAAAUAUUUAAAGCAUACAUUUUAACUUGAAUUACAUUUCAUUUGCAAGAUUGACUCUAAAGGACAGAUUUAUUUUAUUUUGAAAUUAGAA